UGAUUUUCAAAAGUUGUUGGGAGA
rnacentral:piRNA from 1 species